rnacentral:rRNA from 1 species
AGAGUUUGAUCAUGGCUCAGGAUGAACGCUAGCUACAGGCCUAACACAUGCAAGUCGAGGGGCAGCAUGGGAGAAGCUUGCUUUUCCCGAUGGCGACCGGCGAAUGGGUGAGUCACGCGUGUCCAACCUGCCCCGUGCCCGGGCACAGCCCUUGGAAAUGAGGAUUAAUGCCCGAUAUGUGCCGUUUCCGCAUGGCGGCGGCAUGAACCGAGGCACGGGAUGGGGACGCGUCGGAUUAGCUUGACGGCGGGGCGACGGCCCACCGUGGCGACGAUCCGCAGGGGUUCUGAGAGGAAGGUCCCCCACACUGGCACUGAGACACGGGCCAGACUCCUACGGGAGGCAGCAGUGAGGAAUAUUGGUCAAUGGCCGAGAGGCUGAACCAGCCAAGUAGCGUGCAGGAUGACGGCCCUACGGGUUGUAAACUGCUUUUGCGGGAGGAUAAAGUGCGCCACGCGUGGCGCUUUGCAGGUAUCCCGUGAAUAAGGACCGGCUAAUUCCGUGCCAGCAGCCGCGGUAAUACGGAAGGUCCGGGCGUUAUCCGGAUUUAUUGGGUUUAAAGGGAGCGCAGGCGGAGGUGCAAGCGUGCCGUGAAAGCGCGGGGCUCAACCCCGUACAGCGGCGCGAACUGCUCCCCUUGGUUGCGGGAAGGGAAGGCGGAACUCGUGGUGUAGCGGUGAAAUGCAUAGAUAUCACGAAGAACUCCGAUUGCGAAAGGCAGCUGGGCGAGGCUACAACUGACGCUAAAGCUCGAAGGUGCGGGAAUCGAACAGGAUUAAGAUACCCYUGGGUAGUCCCGCACGGUAAACGAAUGAUGCCCGCUGUAUGCGAUAUAAUGUAUGCGGCCAAGCGAAAGCGUUAAGCAUCCCACCUGGGGAGUACGCCGGCAACGGUGAAACUCAAAGGAAUUGACGGGGGCCCGCACAAGCGGAGGAACAUGUGGUUUAAUUCGAUGAUACGCGAGGAACCUUACCCGGGCUUGAACUGCAGGAGAAGGAUACAGAGAUGUUGACGCCCUUCGGGGCUCCUGUGGAGGUGCUGCAUGGUUAUCGUCAGCUCGUGCCGUGAGGUGUCGGCUUAAGUGCCAUAACGAGCGCAACCCUUGCUGUCAGUUGCCAUCAGGUAAUGCUGGGCACUCUGGCGGUACUGCCACCGUAAGGUGUGAGGAAGGUGGGGAUGACGUCAAAUCAGCACGGCCCUUACGUCCGGGGCUACACACGUGUUACAAUGGGUGGUACAGAGAGUCAGCCGCCGGCAACGUCGGUUCAAUCUUGAAAGCCAUCCUCAGUUCGGACUGGGGUCUGCAACCCGACCCCACGAAGCUGGAUUCGCUAGUAAUCGCGCAUCAGCCAUGGCGCGGUGAAUACGUUCCCGGGCCUUGUACACACCGCCCGUCAAGCCAUGAAAGCCUGGGGCGCCUGAAGUCCGUGACCGCGAGGGUCGGCCUAGGGUGAAACAGGUGAUUGGGGCUAAGUCGUAACAAGGUAGCCGUA